AUUUUCUUUAAAUUCAAAGGAUUUGGCGGUGGUUUAGUCUAAUCAGAGGAACCUGUUUUUUAAUCGAUAUGACACGUUAAAUUUUACUUAUUUUUGUUUUUAGUUUGUAUACCGUCAUUAUUAGAUAAUUUUGUAAAGAAUAAAUUAUUAAGGUUGAUUUAUUUAGUAAAAUUAGAUCAUGGUGCAGCUUAUAAAUAAGUUAAAGUGGGUUACAAUAAGAUUUACUUAUAACGGAGUAAGGUAGUCAGAGCCCUUAAGAAGGAGGAUUUGGUUGUAAUAUAAAUUUAGAAAUUAGGAGACAGAAGCUCUAAACUGUGUACACAUCGCC
rnacentral:rRNA from 1 species